AAAAACAUAGUAUUAAGAUUUAUUUAAUAUAGAAUCUGCUCAAUGAUUUAAUUUAAAUAGCUGCAGUAUUUUGACUGUGCAAAGGUAGCAUAAUAAUUAGUCUUUUAAUUGGGGACUGGGAUGAAAGAUUUGAUGAGAAAUAAACUUUAUUAUUUAUAAAAUUAAAAUUUUAUUUUUAAGUAAAAAAGCUUAAAUAUUUUAAAGGGACGAUAAGACCCUAUAAAACUUUAUAAUUAUUAUUAUUAAAAUUUUUGGGUUAUAUAAAUUUUGAUAUUUUUAAUUAUUUUAUUGGGGUGAUAAAAAAAAUUAUUUAACUUUUUUUAAAAUUUUACAUUAAUUAAUGAUAUUUUGAAUUAAAAUUUUUAAUUAUAUGAAAAAGUUACUUUAGGGAUAACAGCGUAAUUAAUUUUUUAAGUCCAAAUUUAAAAAUUAGUUUGCGACCUCGAUGUUGAAUUAAGAUUAGUCUUAGGUGCAAAAUUUUAAGUUAUAGGUCUGUUCGAC
rnacentral:rRNA from 2 species